GACAGAGGUGCCGAGCGUUAGGCGGAAUCACUGGGCUUAAAGCGUGUGUAGGCGGGCCGUUAAGUGUCUUGUGAAAUCCCCCGGCUCAACCGGGGAACUGCUGGGCAUACUGGCGGGCUUGGGUCGCUCAGGGGCAGACGGAACAGGUGGUGGAGCGGUGAAAUGCGUAGAUAUCGCCUGGAACGCCGAAGGUGAAAACAGUCUGCUGGGGGCGCACCGACGCUGAGACACGAAAGCCAGGGGAGCGAACGGG
rnacentral:rRNA from 1 species